rnacentral:tRNA from 1 species
CGGGGUGUAGCGCAGUUGGUAGCGCGCUUGGUUCGGGACCAAGAGGUCCGGGGUUCAAGUCCCCGCACCCCGA